rnacentral:tRNA from 1 species
GAGGGAAUAACUCAAGUGGUAGAGUGUGUGCUUAGCAUGCGUGAGGUCCUGGGUUCAAUUCCCAGUACUUCCU